AGCAAACGGCACAUAAGCCACAGAAGGGGUGCAGUACGGUGGCCCCCUCUGCGGAGAGGGGCCAGGAACGGCGCAGACGGAGCGCUCGCUGGACACAGCGGCACGCAGCAGCAUGGUACAGGAGAAGAAAAAGAUUCCAGUGAGCCAGUAGCGGUGAUCCCGUUAGUGACGGUGCCGUCUGCCCUCACACUGACUCUCCUCUCACUGCCCCUCACGCCAGCCACAAAGGUUUGCAAAGCUGCCGUUGGCCUCACUGUGGACCCCAGGCUGGCCUCAAACUCAGUGAUCCUUCUGCCUCAGCCUCCCCAGCGCUAGGAUUACAGGCGUGCACCGCCACGCCAGACUUCACUUAGCUCUUCGACCACACUGAGCAGAACCUUCCUCCCGCUCUGCAAGGUCAAAGGCCCGCUGUACACCUAC